rnacentral:rRNA from 1 species
AACGAACGCUGGCGGCAGGCCUAACACAUGCAAGUCGAGCGCCCCGCAAGGGGAGCGGCAGACGGGUGAGUAACGCGUGGGAAUUUACCCAAUGGUACGGAAUAGCCCAGGGAAACUUGGAGUAAUACCGUAUCAGCCCGAAAGGGGAAAGAUUUAUCGCCAUUGGAUGAGCCCGCGUUGGAUUAGCUAGUUGGUGAGGUAACGGCUCACCAAGGCGACGAUCCAUAGCUGGUCUGAGAGGAUGAUCAGCCACACUGGGACUGAGACACGGCCCAGACUCCUACGGGAGGCAGCAGUGGGGAAUAUUGGACAAUGGGCGCAAGCCUGAUCCAGCCAUGCCGCGUGAGUGACGAAGGUCUUCGGAUUGUAAAGCUCUUUUGGCGGGGACGAUAAUGACGGUACCCGCAGAAUAAGCCCCGGCUAACUUCGUGCCAGCAGCCGCAGUAACAC